CGGGCGGUGCUGGACGGGCGGAGGCGCGGCCGGAAUUCCAGAGUCUGGUUUGGGGUCCGGGAGCGUGAGAGGUGUUAGGUGUGAGCCCAUCUCUCCGUGGCAUUCUCCUCAGGGCUUGCUUCACUAAAUAUGCUGCAUAUGGCACGUUUUAGAUUUUCAGUGUUAAUAACCUAGAAGCUGUUGCUGUAAGACUGAAUUGCAGAAGUGGCCAAAAGCAUUGCACUAUACAUUGCAUUGAAGAGCAGUUGAAGCGAGCUUUGAAGCAAGCUGAUGAUGCAGAAAGAAGUCCAUCAGCCUUGCCCAAAUCUUCUGCAGCUCUACACAUCAAUUUUAGGAUUUAGAGCUUCUUGUAGCCUCAGUAUUACAGUGUAUAUAUGUAUGUAAUUUUGGUGGUUCUGUCUUGUCUGUCAUUUGAAAUACUGAUUGAGUUUUCAGGCUCUCUGCAAAUAAAUUGAACUUCUAUGCUCUAUAAACUCCAA